CGGAGGAAAAGAAACCAACAGGGAUUGCCCUAGUAACGGCGAGUGAAGCGGCAACAGCUCAAAUUUGAAAUCUGGCCCUASUGGUCCGAAUUGUAAUUUGUAGAGGAUGCUUUUGGUGCGGUGCCUUCCGAGUUCCCUGGAACGGGACGCCGGAGAGGGUGAGAGCCCCSYACGGUUGGACACCUAGCCUCUGUAUAGCUCCUUCAACGAGDCGAGUAGUUUGGGAAUGCUGCUCUAAAUGGGAGGUAAAUUUCUUCUAAAGCUAAAUACCGGCCAGAGACCGAUAGCGCACAAGUAGAGUGAUCGAAAGAUGAAAAGCACUUUGAAAAGAGGGUUAAAUAGCACGUGAAAUUGUUGAAAGGGAAGCGUUUGCGACCAGACCUUUUCCGGGCGGAUCAUCCGGCGUUCUCGCCGGUGCACUUCGUCCGGUYUAGGCCAGCAUCGGUUUCCUUAGGGGGAUAAAGGCUUGGGGAAYGUAGCUCUUUAGGGAGUGUUAUAGCCCCUUGCGUAAUACCCUUCGGGGGACCGAGGACCGCGCUCUGCAAGGAUGCUGGCGUAAUGGUCGUCAACGACCCGUCUUGAAACACGGACCAAGGAGUCGAACAUUUGUGCGAGUGUUUGGGUGUUAAACCCUCACGCGUAAUGAAAGUGAACGGAGGUGAGAGCCCUUACGGGUGCAUCAUCGACCGAUCCUGAUGUCUUCGGAUGGAUUUGAGUAAGAGCAUAACUGUUCGGACCCGAAAGAUGGUGAACUAUGCGUGGAUAGGGUGAAGCCAGAGGAAACUCUGGUGGAGGCUCGCAGCGGUUCUGACGUGCAAAUCGAUCGUCAAAUCUGCGCAUGGGGGCGAAAGACUUAUCGAACCAUCUAGUAGCUGGUUACCGCCGAAGUUUCCCUCAGAUAGCAGUGUUGUCUUCAGUUUUAUGAGGUAAGCGAAUGAUUAGGGAC
rnacentral:rRNA from 1 species